UGGAACAUUUCAGCCCGCCUGCCACGUCAGUUUGCCUCCACCAUCGUACCGCUCCUUUCUCUUCGACUUUUCACAAAAGGCUACCAACGUGAGGACGCCCUUUCAGUUAACGUUUGUGUGUGUAUAUAUAUUUUAAAUGAUGACUUCUUGCGGCAGUCUUUAGGUGGGCUUUUCCCCCGCGUUUUUAAAAAAAAAUAAAAAAUCUUGGUGGACGAAUGGAUACAACUAAGGACGAUCAAGUGGUUGCAGCAUGCAGACGUAAUGACCUCUGGGUCCUUCCUCCCAUCAGAGUCCUUCUCACCCCUCAACCCCCACCUCGCCUGCCCAGUGUUCAGACUACCUGUUCAUCAAGCUGCAGCUGAACAGUAGUCUGCACAUUGGUUAGGCUAGGCUGGGAAAUGACACCAAAUCCUCAUUUGGGAUAGUUUAUAUUAGCAGCAGCAUCUUAACCACACAGCAACUCUUCUCACCUCCUCAUUUUUGUACCAGGACAGGGACUCAGCAGUCAGGACAAACCAGUAUUCCUUGGAGCCUCCUUUCAUGAUGCUGAUGUUGAUGGUUAGCCAGCCUUUCCUGAUCACCUGUAUGGUCAGGAGAAUAUGACGGAGAAGGGUUGUAGGGAGAGAGGGGUACCAGGAGGAUGGAGGGAAAGCUUUAACAAUGAGGUUCCUGCACUGGUGAAAUGUGGACCCCAUAAGUGCCAUUAAUUAUGGGAUUUAACAACAAUAAAACCUUACCCGCUUACCUGCUG